UACAUACUGUGCGAACGUUAUUCGGAUUCACUGGGCUUAAAGGGUGUGUAGGCGGCUCGUUAAGUAGGGUGUGAAAGCCUCCGGCUCAACCGGAGAACUGCAUUCUAUACUGGCUUGCUAGAGUGAGAUAGGGGUGUGUGGAACUGCCAGUGGAGCGGUGAAAUGUGUUGAUAUUGGCAGGAACGCCGGUGGCGAAAGCGACACACUGGGUCUCAACUGACGCUGAGGCACGAAAGCCAGGGGAGCAAACGGG
rnacentral:rRNA from 1 species